CAAUAAAGAAAGCCGGAAUAGCUCAGUUGGUAGAGCAGAGGACUGAAAAUC
rnacentral:tRNA from 2 species